GGUUUGUUGGAGUUUAAAUUUUUUGUUCCAAUUACUUCAAUUUUCCGUCAUUUCUCUUUAAACCGCAAAGUCCCACUUUACGCAGGACACAAGAGUUCUCAUCUUCCUGCUGCCCUAUUCUUUUGCUUGUGUGCUUCCUCUGCGGAUCGAAAACUCAAAACAAAGAGGGGGAAGAAAUCGAGCAGGAGUCCCAGGAAACGACAUCUCUUCGAUUGGUUGUUGGACAAAACCAUUUUGCAGCCCCGAGUUAGUUGAAGACAAUUGUUGAUUUAUGGCUC